GCAGUAGCAACUGGAUUUGCAGCAGAAACACCCUGCUAAAGAACAAGUACCUUGAUUCACAGCAAAGAGGACAAAGAAAAACAGCAAGUUAUAGGGGGUGAAUCCUGGAUUGGACUCCCACCAUUGCAUCUGCCACAAGAUGAUGCAGCCAAGGGGAUGUUAAUGUCUUGCCAUGCUGCUUGAACUUUCAGACUCCAUAACUGUAUUAGCUAAUUUAUCUGCAAGAAUACCCAUUGUGAAAGAAUUUUGUCUUCUGAGAUUCAUUCAAAAUAUCAAAGACAAAUUGUUGAUUGUGAACAACAGAAAGAUAAGAUAUUGCCCAUUUGACUGAGAACUGUUGCUGGUAUUUACUACCCUAGAAAACUUAAAUGAGUUGAAGACCUGGACCCAGUUAAGAACCCCAUAUGCAUUUCCACUUUCAUCCUGCAAUUUUAAGGCCAGAGUUUCUGUUAUCUACACAAGCUCCAAGGAAUGCCCUUGCCAAGUCCUUCAUCCAGAGAGACAAAGGCAACUUUGCUUCCCUUAGAGUUGCCUGUUCUUUUUCUGCCUCAAGAAUCUCCUCAAAGUGAAUAUUUGUGCAAUCAGGAAUGGAAGAGAUAAGCCAUCCCAAUUUUUUAGGAGGAACUAAAGAUUUACUGAAAGGAAUCUCCCUGCCAAGAGACGAUGUGGACCAGAAAAGGCAAUUCGCUUUUUCUUUUAACCCACCAGUGCAGUCUGCACACGGUGAAAUAUCCUCGGAGAGAACUUCCGGUACGUACUUCCUGCUUUUGCCCAGGCCACACUGCUCUAAUCUCUGGGUCAUAGAAACUCCAGGGAAGAGUGACUACUGGCAUAUGGCAGUGCUCGGUUGUAUCAUGUAAUUCAACAGAGUUGAUCAAACCUGGGCAGAGGAACUGUGCUGAUCUGUGUUAUCCAUUUUAUUGACAGAAAAAUGAAUCAUUAGCUGAGUACAAGUGGUUUAUAAAUCUGUCUAAAUAGUUCCUAGGAGAGGCAGAGAGAUCUGCUAAUUUCUUUCCUCCUCUCCAAAACAUAUUAUCUACAGACAAAAUACCCAGUCUUGUGUAAGGUGGUGGUAUCAUUUUGAAACAUUUUCAACUCUCUACCUCUCUUUGUGAGGAUAAGUUUGAGAAAACAAAUACCUUAGAGUCUGUUUCCUGAUUUAAGGAUUUGGUUUAAUACUUUGAAAUGUUUCACUAAUAGAUUUGACUGUGUACUUUUGAGAGUACAGUAGCAACAGGUUUGAUUACCAGAAUCACACAUUUGUCUCUAAUAAUAUAUCUCAUUCUUACCACAAACAUCAUUGGAAAAAAUUACUAUUGAAUGUGCAAAUGAAAAAUCUAAUAGAGAUGUUUAUUGAAAAUUUAGAUGCUUGUAAACUCUAACAUAACUGCUCUGAAUAUUUGAGCUGUUGUUUUGGGGAAAAUUUUUUUUAAGAAUAUGUCUUAGAAAUAUCUUUAGGUCUAAUGGGAACUGUCUAACUGGGAAAAUAAAGAGAAUAUUCUGUGA